rnacentral:rRNA from 1 species
GACGAACGCUGGCGGCGUGCUUAACACAUGCAAGUCGAACGGAAAGGCCCUUCGGGGUACUCGAGUGGCGAACGGGUGAGUAACACGUGGGUGAUCUGCCCUGCACUUUGGGAUAAGCCUGGGAAACUGGGUCUAAUACCGAAUAGGACCGCGCUCUUCAUGGGGUGUGGUGGAAAGCUUUUGCGGUGUGGGAUGGGCCCGCGGCCUAUCAGCUUGUUGGUGGGGUAAUGGCCUACCAAGGCGACGACGGGUAGCCGGCCUGAGAGGGUGACCGGCCACACUGGGACUGAGAUACGGCCCAGACUCCUACGGGAGGCAGCAGUGGGGAAUAUUGCACAAUGGGCGCAAGCCUGAUGCAGCGACGCCGCGUGAGGGAUGACGGCCUUCGGGUUGUAAACCUCUUUCAAUAGGGACGAAGCGCAAGUGACGGUACCUAUAGAAGAAGGGCCGGCCAACUACGUGCCAGCAGCCGCGGUAAUACGUAGGGUCCGAGCGUUGUCCGGAAUUACUGGGCGUAAAGAGCUCGUAGGUGGUUUGUCGCGUUGUUCGUGAAAACUCACAGCUUAACUGUGGGCGUGCGGGCGAUACGGGCAGACUAGAGUACUGCAGGGGAGACUGGAAUUCCUGGUGUAGCGGUGGAAUGCGCAGAUAUCAGGAGGAACACCGGUGGCGAAGGCGGGUCUCUGGGCAGUAACUGACGCUGAGGAGCGAAAGCGUGGGGAGCGAACAGGAUUAGAUACCCUGGUAGUCCACGCCGUAAACGGUGGGUACUAGGUGUGGGUUUCCUUCCUUGGGAUCCGUGCCGUAGCUAACGCAUUAAGUACCCCGCCUGGGGAGUACGGCCGCAAGGCUAAAACUCAAAGGAAUUGACGGGGGCCCGCACAAGCGGCGGAGCAUGUGGAUUAAUUCGAUGCAACGCGAAGAACCUUACCUGGGUUUGACAUGCACAGGACGCCAGUAGAGAUAUUGGUUCCCUUGUGGCCUGUGUGCAGGUGGUGCAUGGCUGUCGUCAGCUCGUGUCGUGAGAUGUUGGGUUAAGUCCCGCAACGAGCGCAACCCUUGUCUCAUGUUGCCAGCACGUUAUGGUGGGGACUCGUGAGAGACUGCCGGGGUCAACUCGGAGGAAGGUGGGGAUGACGUCAAGUCAUCAUGCCCCUUAUGUCCAGGGCUUCACACAUGCUACAAUGGCCGGUACAAAGGGCUGCGAUGCCGUGAGGUGGAGCGAAUCCUUUCAAAGCCGGUCUCAGUUCGGAUCGGGGUCUGCAACUCGACCUCGUGAAGUCGGAGUCGCUAGUAAUCGCAGAUCGGCAACGCUGCGGUGAAUACGUUCCCGGGCCU